rnacentral:misc_RNA from 3 species
ACACCUCAACUCUCAUGGCUUGCCAUGAUGAGCUUGGACUUUGGGGGUCUUGCUGGCCUGGGGUCAGCUCCUCUCAAAUGAAUUAGCUUGCCAGUGUUUGGUGUGGUAUCAUGGGUGUGAUAACUAUCUACGCUUGUGGUUUUCCACCAGGUAACCUUCUGCGACGAAGGUUCGCUGGGGCUCAUAAAUGUCUCUCCUCGGUGAGGACAGCUUUUUGAAC